rnacentral:rRNA from 1 species
UGCGUAGGCGGCCUUGUAAGUCAGAAGUGAAAGGCUACGGCUCAACCGUAGUAAGCUUUUGAAACUGCAGGGCUUGAGUGCAGGAGAGGAGAGUAGAAUUCCUAGUGUAGCGGUGAAAUGCGUAGAUAUUAGGAGGAAUACCAGUUGCGAAGGCGGCUCUCUGGACUGUAACUGACGCUGAGGCACGAAAGCGUGGGGAGCGGACA